rnacentral:rRNA from 1 species
UACGGAGGGUGCGAGCGUUGUCCGGAAUCAUUGGGCGUAAAGGGCGCGUAGGUGGCGGGACAAGCGUGCGGUGAAAGCUCGGGGCUCAACCCCGAGUCGGCCGUGCGAACUGUCUUGCUUGAGCACUGUAGAGGCAGGCGGAAUUCCGGGUGUAGCGGUGGAAUGCGUAGAGAUCCGGAAGAACACCGGUGGCGAAGGCGGCCUGCUGGGCAGUGGCUGACACUGAUGCGCGACAGUGUGGGGAGCAAACAGG